GGAGGGUUGAACUUUCUGCCGGGCUCGGCUUUUCACACCUUUCUCUCCCGAUGAUGCGUGAGGACGUUUUGGGAGAGAGCGGCUCGGCGGGGUCCCCUCCGACCAGGUCCCCCUCGACCUUGCAGGGACCCGGCCGGGCGGCUCGGGUCUGGGAUUGUGCCGGGUUUCAAGGACACGGGAGAUGAUCAGGACUUUGGGAGCCAACAUCUGCCUGGCUGGUGACGUCAGCAACCCCGUGUAAUCCUCUUGUACUGAAGGCAGAUGCCUUAUUUGUUUGGCUGGAGAGGCAUUAAUCCCUAAUUCUGGAGCAGCAAGCGAGGGGGAGAGACCGGACCGCUUCCUAUCCCCCGAAAGCAGCUAGAGGGGCUCUCCUCUCCUGCGCUCCCCGGCUCCGACUGGGUGGAGGAGCCGCCAGCCCUCGGCAGGCGGCCGCACGCAGGAGCUACGGUGCCGAGGGGGUCCGAAGCCGCCUUCCCAGUUUGCCCCCGGAUGCCCCGGGAAGAUACGGGAAAAGUCUCUGAGAAGCCCAGCUCGCCGCAGGAUCCCGACCGCCGCCUGCAGCCGCAGCACAUCCCGCUUCGCCUCCUCUCUCUCUCCCGGGCCCUGGCGCCGAGGAAGCAGUCGAGGUCAGCUGCCCGGUUCCUGGGGUCCGGCCGUGCUCCAGCCCGCAGGGCGAUGCAAGGUGCCCGGCCGCUCCGCUCCUGCCCGGCGCGCCGUCGGCACCCAAAAGGAAUGGUCCCGAUCCUGAGCCGUGAAAGAUGGCAAAAAGCGUAAUAAUAACAAUAAAAGAUUAGGCUAAAUUUUUUUAAAUUAUUGUAAUGACUUCACCCCUUAUUUCCUCACUCGCCAGUUCAGUGUAGGCAAGCCAGAUGGGCUGCCCAGACCCUCCCGGGAAAGGGGCAGGUGCGAGUGAGUUAAAUUUUUUUCUGCUUUACAAAGAAAGAUGACACGUCCUGCCCUUUCAUUUUUCAUCGCCGAAAGAUCCCCUCUUUCAACCCCCCGCCCUCCCCCUGGCCGAGGGCAGCGGGGAUGUUCUGGGGGUGCGGGCUCCCCCCGCCCGUGCUCCAGGGGAGCCGCAGAACCAGGAGGACCGAGACAGCGGAAAGACAUGGUCAUUCCUCUCAGCCAGGGAUGCCAAAUGACAGACGCCGAGUCGGGGAGAGUCAACUCCUGUGUUUAAAAUCACGCGAAGACGCUGGUGAAAUUAAAGCAGUCAUCUGGAAUUGUUCAAUAGGCACACGCUUAUAUUAUAUAUAUUUUUAAUCGAUUAAAUACAUAUUUAACAGCUUCCUGAGCACUGCAAACAACAGACUGGCUAGUAAGAAAACUCGAGCAUGAGUUAUAUGCAGCCUGGGCCGGAAUGGGACUAGGGCGGAGGGAAAUUACCGGGUUGUUUUUUUUUUCGGGGAUCAGUUGCUGUACUGCUGAGAGAGAGAGAGAGAGAGAGAGCGAGCGAGAGAGAGCGCUCUAAGGCUCUGACUCUCCGUGUUCACAGCGGACCUUGAUUUAUAAUGUCAUACAAUUAAGGCACGCGGUGAAUGCCAAGAGCGGAUCCUCAAAGCAGCAUGAAAGAUCUCGCUAGACCAUACCAGAAUAAUAUUAAUAACAAAAAUAAUUGCAAUGAGCUUAAAAAAAAAAAAAAGAAAGAAAAAGAAAAAGAAAAAAGGAAUGAAAGAAAAGGAGAGACAAAGCAAUAAAGAGCUCGACAACCUGUACUCACCUACGGGAACCAGACUAACUAGGACUGGUGGACUGAUUGGCUCAGCCCGGUGGAAAGGAGAUGCCGCUGCCACGGGACGGGCGCCCGCGGGGGCAGCUGUCAGCAGCAGGUAACGGGGCCGUGGGGGGCUACUGGAGCGGUGCGGUAGCCGCGGUGGUUUUUCAAGGUAGUGGUGACUCGACCUCUCGCUUUCUUGGGCUGAACCAUGUAAAGUCGAUUAAUGGGAAAUAAAUACAUUUUCUAAUAUUA